UUUAUUUCCAAUUUCAGUUGCAUCUGAGCCAGUAACUUAAUAUUUUUUUUAUCAAGAGUACCUAUAUAAUGUCGCAGAACUGAAUUCGAAAAUGAAUGAUAAUAUGAUGGAAAUUUUGAUUGAAGGAGAACAAAUUCCGAACCAAAAUGGUGACAUAAUACGUGAUAAACAAUCACACAUCUUUGAUUGUACCGACAAAUCAAUUAACCUGGCAGUUUUAUGUUGCUGUUUGUUCAAUUUUUGUAUUGCAAUUAUUUUGAUUGCAGGUGCGUACAAGUAUAAUAAAAAAUAGAAUCACAAUUUGGAA